GGCAACGGAAAAAGAAGCGUUUGGGUGCGGAGGAAGCAAAUCAAUCCCUAAACCCGAAAAAUAGCCAAAGGGGAAACCUGAGAGAGAGAAACGAAACGAAGAAGACGAAGAGCAGCAAGCAACAGUAGAAAGAGCAACGAAAGGAGAAGACGAAGAUGUUACCCACAACUUCCAGAUCUCGCUCUUCUUCUUCAUCAUCCCGAGCUAACCCAAUGUUCCUCCAGUAUUUUCGUCGCAUCGUCAAGGUUCUCUUUUUAAUCGCGAUCUCAGAUAUUGAUCGAUUUUCAUCAACUGAUAUUGCGAAAAAUACAUAGAUUCGUAAUUUCUUAGAUCGAAUUAUGAGAUAUUUUGCAUCCCUUGAUAGCCUCUAGGUUUUUGUUGAAGUACUUGCUUGAAUCUGAUGAUUACAUUUUUGUAGCUUCGGAAUCUGUAAGCACUUGAGGCAAUUAUGAUUUGUCUGUCUCAGAGGAGGAUGUGAAUAAUCUUAGCCGAAUACGCUAUGCUGCAUAUCGCAUCAUGUUCGAGUUUGUGAUAAUCCUUUUCUCCAUUGCAGUGGCAACAAAUGGAUAUUGAAUAUACUUUCUGGCAAAUGCUUAACCUUUGUACAUCUCCCAAAGUUGUGUACGUCUUUUUGAAUUUCCUUUUUCUAUGCCCCACUUUGAGGACAGGUUUCUCUAUAUACUUUAAAGUUUUUGCAUUUGAAUGAAUGAUAAAGAGUGACUCAUGCAUCUCAAAUUUCACAACUGGAAUAGUGACACAGGCUUUUACUACAGAGCUUAUUGGAAUAGACUUUGAGAUUGUCUCACUUCAAAUUUCUUAUUCUUGUCCAUUUUGUAUGUUUUGCAUGUGAACGCAACUACGGCAUCAGCUAUCAACACACUAAGUACCACAAACGUAAGCUCAGCUUUCAUUACCAUACUGCAAUCAGCUUUAUCAAUUUGUGGUCUUAUUUAAUAUGAAUAUGUUACUUGCAGAGAAGCAUCUUCUUUGUGAGUUUUCUUGUUUGCCGUCUUUAUUAAUAUACCUCCCCUGGUCUAAUACUAUUUCCUUAAUGCUAGUGCCUGUUAAGAAUAAGCUAAAGCUUUGCUAAUGGCAUUGUAAAUAUAAGUGAGUUUCUUUUUCUUUCUUUCUUUCUCUCAGAAACGAAAAACCAAUGGGCACGUGAUGACCCUGCUUUUAUUGUGAUCUGUAGCCUGCUUCUCAUUCUUGCAACUUUAGCCUACUGUGCCACGUAAGUAUUUUGUAAAUGUGCAUCUUUUAGAAUUUGAGAGUUAAAAUUAUUUCCUUGGAAAACUACUUUGUUCUGUUUUUUGUUAUUGCUUUUGACUGUAAUCUGUCGUCCCUGCUUCAGGUAUGACCAUAGUGGCUCUCAUGCUGUCGUCGUAGUUAUAUCAGUUUUCCUUACUCAUUUCUUAAUCACGGGAGCACUUAUAGCUACAUGCUGUUGGUAAGUAUGUUCUAUCGGUGCAUUAGACAUGGAUAUUUGUUGGUGCAAGCUCUUACAUCGCUUAAAUGUUUUGUUUGCAACAAUGUGUCUGUGGUAUUGGUGCUAAUUUGAUCAUAUUUAUAGUGCAAGACAAACACUCUUAAUAUUUUGUACUAAAUCUCCUCUUACGAACGUUGCCAGCCUAGUGAAAUUCGCUCUUGCAAGAAUCUUAGUCCUUCUGUAUAGUUUCCUUGUAAUACCAUUGCAGUUUGAUUGGUUUCUUAUAUCAAAUCUACAAUGUCUCUCUGACUUGAGGUAUGGAUUAUAAGGUUUCUGACGAACUCUUACCUGCGUGAGGAGGCUCCAAACAGUCAUGUGGUGGAACAACGCGUUGAAUGGUAAGUUUAUUGACUGACUGGUCUCUUAUCCUUGUUAUUAUUAUCAUUAUUGUUAUUUUGAUUUUGUCUCUCUCUCUAAGAUAGAGUUCAGUAUCCAUAUUCCAUAUCAUUGUUUCUCGCUGUCCACGUGAGCUUGUCAUUAACAAGUUGUUAAUGAUUUGGCUUCUAUGUAUACUUACUCUAGGCUGUAUACAUUUGAUGUUCACUGCAACUCCUUCUUUCCAAUGUUUGUGCUACUCUACGGUAAUAUCACUCAGUUCUCAAAACAGAAUCUCCGCAAAAGAAGAUUGUGUCUAUGACUUAUAGUUUCUUCUUGUGUUGCUACAGUCGUACAUUAUUUUCUAUCACCAUUCCUGAUAACUCACGGAUUCAUCCCUCUACUGCUAUCGAAUUUGCUUUUCAUGGUCGGGGCAUCGUAUUACCAUUAUCUUAACUUCCUAGGAUAUGACGGUAAGUCUCAUAAAUUUUAUUGUUUCCUUCCACAAAUAAUCUUUUGACAUUGUUUGCUAUGAAUGAAUCCAAUACAGUGCUUCCAUUUUUGGAACGAACGACUUUCUUCCUCUACCCAAUCGGGAUCGUGAUUGUCCUGUCCCCUAUCUGUAAGCUUAGAUCAUUCUUUAGUUUCGCAGUUUCCUCUUUUAGAAAAAAAAAAGGUAAAACAUAAUCUUAAGUUUGUUUUUUUUUUUUAAUAAUUUUUCAGUGAUCUUAAGUGGAUUCAACCCGUCCAAAUAUUUCAUGAACAUGUACUUCAGCCAAAGAUUAUGAGAUAGCAAGCCGCAUCAGUUGAAUCCUAUGGGCUCUGCACUGCACAUACGUUAUCAAGCAAGGAAGAAGAGAGUAUGAUUUCCUUUUUCUUUUUUUACCCGUAACAGACCAUCGUAGUGUUCAGUUUCUGGUACCACUUCAAAGGCUACGUGAUAGAACCAGUUAACAUUUUUUCUAAACCUGACCCCAUUUAGCAAGACUUUGUUUUUUUUUUUUUUUUGAUCAAAAGCAAGACUUUGUUAAAUGUAGUGUUUUUAGGGGCAUCUUCCUAUUGUCUCUUUUUCUUUUCAAAUUCAUUGUAUUUUUUAUAUGUUACGUGUUGAGAUGAAUCUUUGGUUUUGUUAAAGUCUUGGGUACUCAUUACUGUAUUAAGAGAAGACCAAUCGUAGCUUCUCUCGCCCAGUUAUGUUUCCCAAGAUUUCCACUUACGCAGUGACACCAUUAAUGAUUAAACAACUCAACAAGCUGCUCAGAGCCAUCUUCACUAGUUACCUUUAUUGAAAACCUUUAGGAUCUGUACAUAGGACCUUGAGUAAUUUAGCCUCAAGUAGAGAAGCGGGAAUGAAUAUAAUGUGCUUGGCCUGGUCCUAUAAACCUUUCGCAUAGUCUCAAAUAAGGGUUUGACAAAAUAUCUGUAAAUUUUAAUUCAAUUUAUUAUCUAUUUGAAUAUUUAGAAGUCUAUGAAAUAAAUCAAGUACUAAUACGUAAUAUCGGUAAAAGAAAAAUGAAACAAAUCACAAAUACUAAUAUUUUUAAGAAUAAAUAUAUGAUUUGUUAUUUUCAUAUAUACACAUAUAUUUAUUGAAUUGCAUAUAAACUAUAUAAUUAUUAUAAUUUAUGUAAUUUUAAUAAUAUUUAAUAUGUAUGAGGAGAAUGUGGAAGUACAGGGAAGCACUUCUGUACUACACAUACUUUUGGUAUACAUAAAAAUUUAUAUAUCUAUAUCCGUAAGAGGAGAAUGCGGGGUGCAACGAAUAGCUAUGUACUAUAAGCGCAUUGGUUGUUAUGUGUGGCGCAUUAGGUGCCGUGUUUGUUUCAUGCUAGAGCUAGGCCUACAUAGUCGUAGUGUUAUGUACUGAGUCAGUGGUUUGCGGUUUAGCAUCACAUACCUCACUGAGUGACUCCCCUGUUGCUCACCCCUCUUUUCGAGCAUGAGUGAUUGCUAUCGGAUUGGUGCUUUUGGACGUUUACUUCUUUCCAUUUCAGACUUGCGGGUUUUAUGGUUUUAUCGUAUUUUUCUGGAUUUAUUACAUUAUUUGAAUUUAUGACUAUUUGUCGGAUUUAUGAUAUGUGCAGACGAUUUAUGAGGAUUAAUAAAUAGAGAUUUCAAGAUUAUUAUUUAUUAUUUUAUUUUGGAGAGUACGGGUAUUACAUUUUCAUUCCAUCAAUUCUUAAACAUGUAAACAAGUUACAACUUACAGCCUAAAUAUAAGUAAAUUGUGGAACUGUUUUGUAUCAAACGCAUACGGCAACGGAAAAAGAAGCGUUUGGGUGCGGAGGAAGCAAAUCAAUCCCUAAACCCGAAAAAUAGCCAAAGGGGAAACCUGAGAGAGAGAAACGAAACGAAGAAGACGAAGAGCAGCAAGCAACAGUAGAAAGAGCAACGAAAGGAGAAGACGAAGAUGUUACCCACAACUUCCAGAUCUCGCUCUUCUUCUUCAUCAUCCCG
rnacentral:lncRNA from 1 species